UCAACAGCAGGGACUAUUGGAUUGGAUAAUUUAUCUACCAACCUCAAAACACUCAAAGCCUCAAAUACUGAGACCUUCAAAGAGCUAAAAUUUUGCUUAAACAUGGCUGAUAAUCACAGAGUCCAAGUUCCAAAGGUUAAACAGGGCCAUCAAGGACUUGAGGUGUCAAAGCUUGGAUUUGGUCUGGAUGUAUGGGUCUGACUGGAGUCUAUAACUCCCCUGUGUCUGAGGAGGAUGGGAUUUUUGAUAAUAAAAGAGGCAUUCAAUAAGGGAACCACUUUCUUUGACACGGCUGAUGAGCUCAUUCUAAUAAACUUCUUGUUGGAAAGGCGUUUUUGGUAUGGACUGCAUUGAUCUCUGUCAUCAGCACCAGAUUGACACUUCAGUCCCUAUAGAGGAAACUAUUGGUGAGCUCAAGAAGUUCGUGGAAGAGGGAAAGCUAGAAGUAUAUUGGGCUAUCUGAAGCAAGCGUGGAAACAAUAAAGAGGGCACAUGUAGUUCAUCCUAUUAAAGCACUACAAAUUAAUAUUGAGUGGUCCCUUUGGACUUGUAGUUAUAAGACACCAGAUAAAAUAUUGAAGACCAGAAUAUAUUUUUUAUUUACUGCA